rnacentral:lncRNA from 1 species
GGCGUGGGUUGUGUGGCCUCUCCCAGCUCCACGCGUUUCUGGGCGCCGGGCACUAGGCGAGCCGGCCGGGCUGGCGCGAGGCCGCAGGCGGGAAGAGUCCCCGGGGUCGGCCCCGAAGCGGCUCUGGAGGCAGUAGCCGGGGACGCCGAGGUCAGGGAGGAGGCGGAUCCGAGCGCGGUCCCGCAGGGCCCUGUCCGUUCUUCCGCCUCGGCCGGUCCCGUCAGGCCGCCUUUAAAUGCCCGGCGCCUCGCACCUGCUAACAAAACGAGCUCCUGCUGUUCCCCAGCUCCGUAAAUGGUGCCCCUGGCCCUCCCCAGUUCUCAGGCAGAGCCUUGGCGGCCUCCCUGACCCCUAACACCCCGCAUCCAGCCCGGCAGUACAUCCUGUUGGCUGUGCCUUCGAAAUUUCCCCAGACCUGACCUCUUCUCCCACCUCUGCCACCACCCUGCUCCGAGCCGUCUUUUCCCGCCGAGAUGACUGUAGUAGCGUCUCAGCUGGGUCUCCCCGCUUCCACCUUCCCCUCCUGAGUCUCCUCAACACAGGAGCCAGAGCGAUCUCGGAAAGUACAGGAGGUCAUGCCCCAGUGUGGUUCCCCUUUCCUGGGUUUAAGUCAAGGUCCUCACCGUGCCUGCCGGCCUCCCGGGUCUCUGCGCGGUGGACUCUGGACCUCCCUGCCCCGUCCUGCCUCAGGGCCUUUGCACCUGCUGUUACCGCGGCCUGGAACGCUCCUCCCCUGAAACCCUGUGACUCCCACUUAGUGAGGCGACCACCUGUUGAAAACCGUGCCCCCUUCCUAUACAGAUGCUCCUGUCAUAUGGGGUUAGAUUCCCCAUCAACCCAUCAUAGGUUAAAGCAUUGUAAGGCAAUUUACGGUAGGUUUAUCCGGAUGUAACCCCAUCUGUAAGCGGAGGAGUAUACUGAAUGUGUAUGGCGUUUGUACCAUGGCAAAGCCAAAAUGUAAGUCAAACUCGAAGUCCA